GAUCCUGUUGGGGGGGGUGUUCACGAAUGGCUGCAAGAACAUCAGGUCCGACUGCAGACUGCCUUUGACGGGGCUCGAGCCCGUCUGGAGACCGCCGCGGCCCGUCGGAAAAGGAACCAUGACUCACAGGUGCGUGAUGCACCACUGGGGGAGGGUCAGUUGGUAUUCUUACGCAAUGUUGGCGUACGGGGGCGUCACAAAAUCCAGGACCUGUGGAGCCCGGUGGUGUAUCGGGUUGUUAAGGCGCCUGGCGCAGGCGGAUCUGUAUAUACGAUAGCUCCCGUGCACAGUCUUGACCAGACUCGACAUGUCCAUCGGUCCUUGUUGAAGGUUGUCCUGGGGACCCACCCACCCACGUCAGUUGAUCCACAUGAGGCGCCCACCAGCAGUGCGCCUCAAGAAACAUCCUCCACUGAACUAGAGUCAGCUGAAGAAAUGGAUUUAAUGGCCGUGUGCCAGGGGUUGCCCGUAGUCAACAUCCACAACCCGUCCGUAUCUUCAGGAGCAUCACCGCCCCGGGCAGUGGGCGAGCCUGGAGUGGAGGGAUCUGCUGUGGUAGUACCGUCAUCUUCCAGGGUGGUUGGACAGCCACCGGCUAUUGUGGUGACCGCGGUCCUCGAGCCUCCGGCCCGUGAGGAGACCCAGGGCAGCACUGUCCGAAGAUCAUCCCGUUCCACCGCAGGACAGCACUCAAAUGUCCACCACUUACCAAGGCCUGUAAGUGGAUCAGCAGAUGGGGUGGUGACACACCCAGCCUCUGUUUCCAUCCCGAACGCCAUUGGAACAAGUCAGGCUUCUUCAGAGCCCUAAUCGCCGGGACGGCGAUUCACAAAGGGGGGGUGGAUUGUAGCAGGAUGGAAUUGGCAUUGCGUAAUAGGAGUGAUUGACAGCUCGUGACUGACAGCAAGGGGCGGGCUGAAGUCUAUUUAUCCAGGUAGACACUGGUUUCCUGUCUCGCUUCCGUUUCCAUUGGGACCUGUUUUGGUGUGAGGUUGGGCUGUGUUGGCCACCGAGAGGCCGCGGAUGAACUGCGAAGGUGAGCAUGUGUUCUGUUGUAUUUACCGGCAAUUGAGUUCUGUGACUUGGAAUUAUAGCGACGCUUCCUUUUGCAGAGCGGCGUUACUCACCUGCAUUUCUGAUCGUUUGAAGCGCACUGUAACCUACGUGGCGCUUAGGAGCCAGGAGCUGGCUGAUAGGCCAGUUAGCCUGCUCGAGGUAAUUGGUGUGGCGUGGCGAUCCUUGGAAACGCUGUGCCGGUGACUCGCUUGUUUUAAGCUUUCAUCGGCGGCCCCUCCGGCAAGAACCAGCCAGUGUGUGGAACCCAUUGAGUGUAGUACGUCGGCAGCCUGGUGGUGAGAGGAACCCCUUGUGUGCGCACACAGUGAAAGAUAAGUAGUACUACAGAUCCUUAUAGGUUUAGUGAUCUCAGUGGUGCCCCAGGCUGCACGACCAGGUUCAUUCCUUUCUCUCUCUUACUUGCGUUCUCUCUCUCUCUCGCUCUUUCGCUCUCUCUCUCUCUCUCUCUCUCUCUCUCUCUCUCUCUCUCUCUCUCUCUCUCUCUCUCUCUCUCUCUCUCUCUCGGGGGCCCCUCCCCCGCUACUGUGUACUGUGCCCGAUCGGGCUUUUUGCGACCUUGCACAUUGUUUUAAUAUUUUUGUCUUGCACAUUUGUACAACAAUAAAAGAGAAUUAUAUUUGGGAUCCCGUCUCUGUCCUGUGUAUUUCGAACUUGUGCUAAUUUAAGGUUUAGAUAUUUCCUGGAGGUAAAAUUGCCCUGCCUCUAGGUGGCGUAGUCGCUACAAAC